GUCCUUCCUCCCCCUCUUCUCCAGGUCACCCCAGCACGGGCAGGACGCGGGCUCCAGCCUGGUGUGGCUCUGAUGGCCGGGGUCAGUCCCAGCUGGGCACCGAAGGCUCCCUGCAGAGCACGAGCAGCCCCUCACGGUCCCGUCCUGCCACCAUCCACCGCUCCCACCCGCAGUCCCCGGGAAAUUCCCGUUCCCCAGCCCAGCACUCGGGCUGUUCACUGCCCAGGCACGAGCGUGGGUCCCCGUGGACGAGAAGUGGAGGGAACAUUGUCCAAACACUCUGAGGACCAGGAGGUGACAGCACAGGGACACUGCGGAGCCGCCCACAGGGUCAGGCCCUUUGGG
rnacentral:lncRNA from 1 species